rnacentral:lncRNA from 1 species
UGGGCGCCGUCAUCAAAACACCAGCCACCCAUUCCUCCCCACGCCGCCAGCCCAUGGCCGCCGCUGCCGCUUCUGCCCUCGUUCCCCGUCUGGCCCAGACUAGGGCUUCCCUCCGCGUCUCUUCUUCUCCCUCUUCCUCCCUGAAGCCCCGGGCGUCCCUCUCCUCCGCCGGCCCCGCCGGACCGUUGAAACUGUUCUUCCCUCCUCCCCCACCGCCUCCCGCAAUUUCGAUCUCCAGGAUAUCCGCGGGAGUUUCUUCUUCUUCUUCUUCCCCUGAGGUAAAGUAUGAGCUUCACUUCCUUCGAUUCCUCCGCCCCCGCAAACCCGGAUCUCUCUCACUGCCUCCCACAGAUGGAGGGCUCGGGCGCAGAGAUCACGGAAGAGGUGGAGAAGGCCCCGGCGGAGGAAGGAGGCGGCGCCCCCCGGGGGUACAAGAAGGUCUUCGUCGCCGGCGCCACUGGGAGAACGGGGCGGCGCGUGGUCGACCAGCUCCUGGCCA